AGAGAUAAGGACUAUGGCAUACUCUCCAUCUUUCUCUCCGCCUCUUUGUCCGAUGGUGCUGUGAAUUUUUAUGGAAUGUCUUUCUUUAAUUUUACCUGCAUUUGUAAAUAAGUGCCAUACUUUAAAGUUAUAAAUGGACAAUACACUAUUUGACACCUGAACUGAAUAAAACCACCCAACCCCUUUUUCUGAACCCCUCUUUUUCUAUUACAGGCAGGUGCAGCCUCUCCCAGCAGCACCGGGUGCCAAGCAGGCAGGAGCACAAAGGAGAAAGCGAAUGAUGUCAGUCCCGCGGUGGCCUGAUGCACUAAGUAAGUCUGUGCUUUUGGUGCUUUCUGAGGUCCCCGCUCUACACUUGGCGUUAACAUGAGUUUUGUAUGUGGAUGAAGUUAAAGUGGCACUCAAAUGUUCCUCCAGUGAUGACACUUAAUGACACUGUUAGAAUGUGUGUGGCAGCGGACAUGGCAGCAGUAACCCACAUGGGCACCUCCAUGAGAGAAUUCCUAAAACGGUGAAGACCAAAGGAAAAUAAAUAAAAACAAAGCACCUUCAGCGUGGGAAAGGUGCCAUAGAAAUAAAAUGUAUUAUUAAUUAUAAUUACAUUAUGAUGAUGUCAAAAAUAUAACAUAUUUAUAAUACACAAAGGUAAGCAAUAGAAAAAGUAAUUUGGAAUAAAUAAAUUUGGGAAAAAAAAAACUUUCCCAACAAGAUCACCAAAAAUGCAUAUUAAUGCCAGGAGUAAAAGGGUCCUCGGACCCCAAUUUAGUUCAAAUGCUGUGUCGAAGCACUCGAUAGAAGUGACAAAAUGACAGAAAUUACAAGAAAGUCAUUGCAAAGUAACUUUCACUAAUGCUGAAUAUAAUUAUUAACAUCAUUGCUGCAUUAAAUGAAACCAAGUGUCACUGAUGAGGUCCCCUCCAUUUUCACGUCCCCGCAUGGAGAAGUUGGCCAUCAACCCAAAGACCCCCCCCAAGUCAGGAGUGAAUCUCAUUUUGUAAAGCUGCUUAAUCACUUGCUUCUGACAUGGAGCCCCCGGGUUUGCAGCCUGCCAGUCUGUGUGAGGACAAGAAACGGAGAAGGACGGAACCCUGAGUGAUUCCUCGCCGGUGACACUCCAGUUAUUUAAGCCUCGCUUUUGUUUACUUCAGGUAGGAGUUUGCAGCUAAAGUGUCCAAAGCUCACGUUAUCAGGUGCUGUUUCAUUGUGAUUACAGCGGUGGGCUUUCUCACCGAGUUCAUCCCGGCCAAUGCUGGAGUACAGAAGUCUGGCUUGGUGGCAAGCUCGUGGGGCCAAAUGAGAACACACGUCUGGAGACAACUCGCCAAAAACGUCUGUAGGGAAUCGCAGCAGAAUCUGCCACGGAAAAGACUCCGCCCACGGGGUUUGCUCCUGGAAACCCACCCUUCACACUUUAGUUUGCAGUGUCCCGUUUCUGCACAGACAAAUAUGUGAGGGAGUGAGAGAAGAAGAAACACAAGUAAAGACUCAACACUGAGACAGAAUACAGUAGCAAGAAGAAGUAUGUGACAUGACCCGUGUAAGAAGUGACCGCACAGGCAGACAAGUCAGAGAACCAAAGAAAGGACGGGGCACCAGCCUGGUCACCCCGUUUAAUAUCAACAAAAAAGACAGCCAGUAACGACUCCAAAACAACAGUAGUGAUAUUAGCAGUAAGCGUUGUCAUGGCUAGUAGGAGCUCCGUCCUGUGAUCUAGUCAGUAUAGCACCUGAUGCCAUCUUCUGGGAAUGGGCUGGUGUUAUAGGGUGGAGACCGGAAGGCGCAGAUUUUCCUUUGGGUGAUGGGGAUGGAAUCAUUCAUCCCUUUUGGUUGUUUUUCUUGGUUUCAGAGGGGGAAGGAGAACCCCUCUGUUAGCAUCAGUGCCUCUCUCUCUCGUCCCGGGGUGGUACUGCCUACCUCAUUUAAGCCAGGGAGGUGGUCCCCAGCCACACAUGCAUGACCACCUGGUUUUCUGUAUCAAUGGGUUUGCAUUAAAGUGAUCCUGUUUUCGGGCGGCACGGUGGCGCAGUGAGUAGUGCUGCUGCCUCGCAGUUAGGAGACCUGGUUUCACUUCCCGGGUCCUCCAUGAGUGGAGUUUGCAUGUUCUCCCCGUGUCUGCGUGGGUUUCCUCCCACAGUCCAAAGACAUGCAGGUUAGGUGCAUUGGCGAUCCAAAAUUGUGCUUGGUGUGUGUGUGUGUGGGCCCUGUGGUGGGUUGGCGCCCUGCCCAGGGUUUGUUUCCUGUCUUGUGCCCUGUGCUGGCUGGGAUUGGCUCCAGCAGACCCCUCGUGACACUGUAGUUAGGAUAUAGCGGGUUGGAUAAUGGAUGGAUGGAUGAUCCUAUUUUCAGCUGUGUCACAAGUAUAGACAGACACAAUAUGCUUACCUUAACAACACACAAUAUUAUAAUCUUUCAAGUAUUUAUUGAUCACACCUAUCAAACAUUCACAGUUUGCUCUGGAAGAACCGUCCUGUUAAAACCAGAACACAAACGCAAUUUUUAAAUUACACGCUAGCCGCAAUGGAUAGAAGCUGACGCAAUCCAACACAUUUGCAGUGAAUUAUGGGUAGUUUGGACACGCACAAAACAGCUCUCUGCCUUUAGUCCAGUUGAAACUACAUGGACACUCUGCUACAGGGCCGCACCAUUGUAUGAUAGAUAGAUAGAUAGAUAGAUAGAUAGAUAGAUACUGAGGGACCUUCGAAAAGUUUCUGCACUUUUAUAUUAUCAUUGGAAGCGGUGAAGUCGGAAGGACAACGCUGGGAAAAUUGCAUCGCAAAGGAAGGUGACUAUUAUUACAAAAGUGAUGUCAUUUAUUUUUGAAAUUCUUAAUAAACAGAGUUAAAAAAAAAAGCACAAACUUUUUGAACAUCCCUUGUGGAAUAACGUCUCGUAGCGAGAGAUCUUUGGGCAGAGGGAGUGAGACCUGCUGAAAUCCGCUGAAGGAUGUUGGUCCAGUAUGGAGGUGAAAACAGCAUUUAUGAAUGGGUAGAAAGGCUUAAAGCGGGAAGAAGAUCUGGUCGACCAUCAACAUCGCGCAUGAGCCCACCAUCGACAUGGCGAACGCCUUCAUCUGAGAAGACCAGUGGAUUACGUUGUCCACUCUAGCUGCACGUUUGGAUAUCUGCCGUGGAUCUGCACAUCCCAUAGUGCUUUGAUGACUGUCGAUUUCGCACAAGAUGGGUACCCUGACAGCUUACUGGUCCGCACACAAGCCAACAUCCGUUGGUGAAUUUCAGCAGGUCUCACUCCCUCUGCCCAAAUAAAUCUCACGACAACGCGCCGCUCAUCAUUGGUGCAGUUGCUGUGUUCGCUUGACUUUGACUCCAACUAGUCUAACAGCAGAGUUCUGCGCCAUUGUUGUGAUGGGAAAUUUUGUAUUCAAGUUGAUUAAUAUUUUGUAUGUCUUUAUUUGUAACAUAGACUUAGCAAAUGUAAUAUUAGUGUUGGAUUAGUGAUAAUAACAGCAAUGGUUUGAUGGUUUAAGAACCCCUACCCCCUUUUAGGACUAAGUCUCUUUGUAAUUUUACGACAGGGUUAGGUGAAGUGCCUCAAACAACUCUGGCUAAUAUUUCUCUGCAGGACUCUCUCUCAACCCCCACAGGAAAACCAGGCUGCCUAACUGCCAAGCUUUACCUUAACACCUGGUUUGGAGGGCAGGUGUGAAGGUGUUCUGUCCCCCCAUUGGUCUGACGUAUGGCUACUUGGAAUUGGCUUGUAUCAAAAGCCCUUAAGUACCAGGACGCCCUAUUGGCUCUAGGGGUGGGCAGAAAACCUAUACAUUUGCUUGCUUUACCUCACUCUCUCUCUCUCAUACCAAACUGAUGAAAGAGCAUCUCACACACACCAUGAACUGAGAAGGACAACACAAUGAAGAGCACGGCUCGGCAGCCAUAUUGAGACAGGCAUGUGGCCUGAAACCUGACCAAAAAUGAGGACUUAACUAGAGACAUUUUAAGUAACUAACAAGUCUGUGUGCCACUUGAAAGUACACAUCAGCAUUUAUCAGGCUGUAUGGUUGCCAAUAUUCAAAUGCACGUUGCAUAUUGUUAUUAUUUAUGAAUAUCUAUAUAUAUAAUUCACUAAGCCCACAGAACAGGCAAGACAACCAUUGGAUACGCACGAUAUAGCCACGCCCGCCAACGCUAAGAUGAUGGGAUACGCCGACAACUCACAGAGCCACGCCCACCGACAACACAGUGCCACGCCCACCAACUCUAAGACCAUAGGACGAGAACGCCUGCCCACCUGCCUGACUGUUAAAAUCUGCAAUGGUUUUACACGCUGGUAACUCACAAACUGCAACAACUCACCAAACAAGGACACCCUGUCUCUCAAGGCAUUCACACUGCCGGAAGACAAUCAUGGGAUACGCAAAAAAUAGCCAUGUCAGUCAACUCACAAAGCCCAGCCCACCAACUCGAGCACGCGUCCACCCACGCUCUCAAGGCAUUCACAGUGCCUGCUCAUGUGCCCGGACGCAACAACUCACCACACACAAAUUUUGCUUAAUUUGACUCAACACGGGAAACCUCACCCGGCCCGGACACGGAGAGGAUUGACAGAUUGAUAGCUCUUUCUCGUUUCUGUGGGUGGUGUUGCAUGGCCGUACUUAGUUGGUGGAGCGAUUUGUCUGGUUAAUUCCGAAAACGAAUGAGACUCUCUACUGCUAAAUAGUUACGCGAUUGCCAAGCGUUCGGCGUCCAACUUCUUAGAGAGACAAGUGGCUUUGAGCCACGUGAGAUUGAGCAUUAACAGGUCUGUGAUGCCCUUGGAUGUCCGGUACUGCACGCGCGCUACACUGAAUGGAUCAACAUGUGUCUACCCAGCGUGGGUAAGCCGUUGAACCCCAUUCGUGAUGGAGACCGGGGCUUGCAAUUGUUCCCCACGAACAAGGAAUUCCCAGUAAGUGCAGGUCUUACGCUUGCACUGAUUAUGUCCGUGCCCUUUGUACACACAAAUCGCUACUACCAUGGUCGGGUGACUUGGUGGAUUAUAUAUAGAAAAGCAGCCAGAACUGCAAAGAACAAUGAAAAGACAACGUGGCUCAGAGGUGCACAGACGACAGCGACUCAGGUGAGGAGUUGGGGGCGGCACAUGAGCAGGCAGUGCGUACUGAACGAUGAUUGUAUGUUGGUCCGUAGCGUGCAUUGUUGCAAUGUUACUUUUCUAGGUGGUUUAUUAAAUUACGGAUUUUUCAAAUGUUCAUUUUUUUCCCUGUGCUUAAAAAUCAUUAAAAAAGCGGCGUGAUUAUGUGGUGUAUGCUAUGCCGCAGGUUGGCUAGUUAUCAAUAAUACAUUAUUUAAAGUGCAACUUAACUCCUGCUUGUCUUUUACUACACCUAAUUGCCUGAGAUUGUAGAUGUCGAAGGGAAGGUGGGGAGAGAAGUUAUAUGGUACAAUACCUGAUAAACAGUGGCAACUCUGGGAGAUCGGAGGCAUUCUGACAAAGGCUACAUAUUAAUAAUACAAAAGGGGGAAAGUAGAGUCAUAUAUUACUCUACCAAGAAAAAACAGCCGUGUGUGUUCAAAUUACCCAUAAGCCACCGCAAAUGUGUUAUAUUGUGUCAACUUCUAUCUAUGGUGGUUACCGCGUCAUUUUCAAAAUGAUUUACUCUCAUACUUUCAACAACUGAAGUGUGGAGUCAAAAAAAUCACGGCUAGGUUUUUGGCCUGAGAUGACGCACACGAGACAAGAUGGGCUAAAUUUCUGAAAGCGCGUCUAGUAGACUUGGAGAGGUUAAAUAAAUUAACCCUCGGCUUCAUCGUCAUUAAGCUAGAGAAAGUUAAUCAUCGAUCUAGCCUUUAAUGUAUGUCCUGACCCAGCAGGAAAACUGAUAACUAGUUUCUUGAGUAAACCGGGAAAUGCUUGCAAAAUAAAACGAAGCGACCGAAACUAAGAUGAAAGGAAUAGAUCACGGUCGAUAAUCGGGCAAGACACGAAACUUAAUCACAAAAGAAUUCAGACAUGGGAAGAAGGUUUUAUCCUCAGAUCAGAUAAGGCGGAGUGCAAAAGGCUUAGAUAGAUAGAUAGAUAGAUAGAUAGAUAGAUAGAUAGAUAGAUAGAUAGAUAGAUAGAUAGAUAGAUAGACCGACCUUUCAUCUCGUCUGCUGAUCGUGACCCCGGAGAACGCAGGACGCGCCCCGACAACGGUACACAUAUCGCUUCAAUAACGGUAAAAGGCUAUAAGAUCUCGAAUUUCAGCCCUAAUCCUCCUGUAAACGGUGGUGUUUUAAUCGCUAUCUUUCACUUGUGUCAUUUUUGAUUUGUAUAAUUCCGGUAUCACAGGAAGGUUUUUCCAACCUUACAACAAUUGAAAAUGUCCUCCACACACACAGCCCCGUUUAUAUGUCUUUUUUUUUUUAAGGAGAAUUUUUCUAGCCAUCGAAGAUCUACCCAUCGUGACCGCAGACGUGGCACUCGGGGUUAACGAGCUCUCCGUUUCUCCUUGCACCCCACCCCACUCUGAGCUCCGCCUCCACGAGGCAUUGGGAUUAGUUUGAAAAUCUCAGCUCUGAAUCGGCCGUCUCAUUGUUCCCACCCACUUUUAAACCAAAUUCACUCUUGGUUGUCUCCAGGCGUACGUGUUUGUCACCUUUGGCUCUCCCAAGAUUAAGCGAGGCCUAACUCCGAUAUACAAAUGUUGCUUGGGUUUCUGCUGGGAUGUUGAUGCUCCACUCCGAUUGUGUAUUGAAUUCUCUCUCUUUUUCUUUUGGUCUGUUACUGCAGAUUACAGUUCUUCCUAUCCUGCUGCAGAAUGCUGCUCCGGCCAUGAAAAAAAAACAAAACGAUUUUGUAAUAUGUCUUCUUUCUUAUAUUUGAUUAUUAUGAAGAUGAUGAUAAUGAUGAUGAAACCUUUAUUUAUUACAAAACAGUUACGAUACAGGUAAUGCAAUGCAUCCACAGCACAUGCAGACAAACUCUUCACUUUCCAUUUCCACAUGUCACUUAUUUUCUAUCCACGAAGGCCAUCCUUCUUUCUUAUAAUGGACCCCGUCACACUGCAGCGUAACCGCUGGCCCACCAGUGCCUUUUGAAAAUGCAUUGAAUGAGUAAGAAGAGCGACUUCAUGUACGACACCAGUGAGGUCUGUAUGCUCGAACACCAAUCGGACAUCCAGGUUUUAGGAGGUCAGGCUGUUGCCAUUAAAACAAAAGGUCAGAUCUGAACGCACUUGGAGUGGACAGUAGAAAGCGGUCCUGUUAGUCCCAGCCAGCGCGGUCACCCCACACACGCAGACGUCCAAUAGCAUCAAACAGAAGCCAAUACAGCGAAAAAUGACCCUGUGCUCAUACUUCAACAGCCCUUCGGACGACGCAUGACAUUUUAAAGGAGAUUCCGAGAACUUCCAACUUCUUUCCACCGCACUCAUUCAUUUGACCGAAGGUGACCGGAGGUGUCUGUGUGGACCCCAUCUCCACCACGAUGGAGGAGUAGAUUUGCCAGAUGAAGCAAUAAUUUUAGAAUCCAUUUUAUGUUUGCACACCCUGCCUACUACCACAAAAAAAAUUUAAAAAGAAAAACAAUAAAUCUUUUGCUACAUUGG